GACGAACGCUGGCGGCGUGCUUAACACAUGCAAGACGAACGGAAAGACCCUGCUUUUGUGGGGUGCUCGAGUGGCGAACGGGUGAGUAACACGUGAGUAACCUGCCCUUGACUUUGGGAUAACUUCAGGAAACUGGGGCUAAUACCGGAUAGGAGCUCCUGCUGCAUGGUGGGGGUUGGAAAGUUUCGGCGGUUGGGGAUGGACUCGCGGCUUAUCAGCUUGUUGGUGGGGUAGUGGCUUACCAAGGCUUUGACGGGUAGCCGGCCUGAGAGGGUGACCGGCCACAUUGGGACUGAGAUACGGCCCAGACUCCUACGGGAGGCAGCAGUGGGGAAUAUUGCACAAUGGGCGGAAGCCUGAUGCAGCAACGCCGCGUGCGGGAUGACGGCCUUCGGGUUGUAAACCGCUUUCGCCUGUGACGAAGCGUGAGUGACGGUAAUGGGUAAAGAAGCACCGGCUAACUACGUG
rnacentral:rRNA from 1 species